rnacentral:tRNA from 1 species
GCCUGGGUGGCUCAGUCGGUUAAGCGGCCGACUUCAGCUCAGGUCACGAUCUCGCGGUCCGUGAGUUCGAGCCCCGCCUCAGGCU